GCCUACGGCCAUACCACCCUGAA
rnacentral:ncRNA from 3 species